GGGCCCGUAGCUCAAGGGUCAGAGCGGCCGGCUCAUAACCGGCGGGUUCCUGGUUCGAGCCCAGGCGGGCCCA
rnacentral:tRNA from 2 species